GCCAGCAGCCAUGUCACCCUGCAACUUAAAGUUGGCAACCCACUGAAGCUAAGCAGGUGUGAGCCUGGUCAGUACCUGGAUGGGAGACCCCCUGGGAAAAACUAAGGUUGCUGCUGGAA
ensembl:rRNA 5S_rRNA 5S ribosomal RNA